rnacentral:lncRNA from 1 species
GAUGAUCUGGGGACUUUCUCAUAAAACUUGACAUCAUCAUCAUCAGGAGAGUCGAACGAGACAGGUCUGACGACGGUGGGCGUGGGCUCGGAUCUGGUCAGCGACCGGCGAAGCGACUAGGGAGUCGAAUGAAGUGUUGAGCCCAAUGGGCUCGGAGUUUUGUGGUGGUUCAGAGUCGGAGUUGGGGUGGGGUGGUUGUUAUCGAAAUUGGGGCAGGGGUUGUCGGAAUUGGGGCGGUGGUUGUCGGCGUCGGAGAGGUCG